UACGUAGGGUGCAAGCGUUAAUCGGAAUUACUGGGCGUAAAGCGUGCGCAGGCGGUGAUGUAAGACAGUUGUGAAAUCCCCGGGCUCAACCUGGGAACUGCAUUUGUGACUGUAGAGCUGGAGUACGGCAGAGGGGGAUGGGAAUUCCGCGUGUAGCAGUGAAAUGCGUAGGUAUGCGGAGGAACACCGAUGGCGAAGGCAAUCCCCCUGGGCCUGUACUGACCGCUCAUGCACGAAAGCGUGGGGGAGCAAACAGG
rnacentral:rRNA from 1 species